AGAGUUUGAUCCUGGCUCAGAUUGAGCGCUGGCGGAAUGCUUUACACAGGCAAGUCGAGCGGCAGCGCGGGGCAACCUGGCGGCGAGCGGCGAACGGGUGAGUAAUGCAUCGGAACAUGUCCAUGUCGUGGGGGAUAGCCCGGCGAAAGCCGGAUUAAUACCGCAUACGCCCGAGAGGGGAAAGUGGGGGACCGCAAGGCCUCACGCGAUUGGGUUGGCCGAUGUCCGAUUAGCUAGUUGGUGGGGUAAAGGCUUACCAAGGCGAUGAUCGGUAGCUGGUCUGAGAGGAUGAUCAGCCACACUGGGACUGAGACACGGCCCAGACUCCUACGGGAGGCAGCAGUGGGGAAUUUUGGACAAUGGGGGCAACCCUGAUCCAGCCAUUCCGCGUGAGUGAAGAAGGCCUUCGGGUUGUAAAGCUCUUUUGUCCGGAACGAAACGGUUACGGUGAACACCCGUGACUACUGACGGUACCGGAAGAAUAAGCACCGGCUAACUACGUGCCAGCAGCCGCGGUAAUACGUAGGGUGCGAGCGUUAAUCGGAAUUACUGGGCGUAAAGCGUGCGCAGGCGGUUUUGUAAGCCAGAUGUGAAAUCCCCGGGCUUAACCUGGGAAUGGCAUUUGGGACUGCAAGGCUGGAGUGCGGCAGAGGAGACUGGAAUUCCUGGUGUAGCAGUGAAAUGCGUAGAUAUCACGAGGAAUACCGAUGGCGAAAGCAGGUCUCUGGGCUGACACUGACGCUCAUGCACGAAGCG
rnacentral:rRNA from 1 species